rnacentral:lncRNA from 1 species
ACGUGGAUCCAGUCACCUCGGGAAGCCCACCUCUGGACCUUGCAUCCUUGGGUUCCAAGCCCUCCGCCCAUGGGCCUUUGGGAGACACCCCAGUUUGAGCAUCUACACUUGGCUCCAGGGUCCAGUGGGCAUCGCGUCUCUGGUGGACUCAAGGUGAUCCCCAAAAACAUCCAGAGGGGGAGAGAUGGGCGCCAGGAGGCGAUGGGUAGAUAGUUGGAUGGGCAGGUCGCAGAGCGAGGAAGGGAAUCUGGGGCUCGGGGGAAGCACCUCACCUCCUUUCAGGGUCCCCUUGACCAUCCUCUGCCUCCGGCCGCCAUCUUGCUUCUUGGCUUGUCCACAAUGCUUGGAGCUGCCCACCCUGUGGCCGUCACCUGGUGAACGGGAGUCAGAGGGUCGUCAGAACCAGGACCCCCGCCCUGGGCGCUGUGGAUUGCAAAAUGUGUCCCCGGAAUUGCACAUCGAGUGACAGCCGUGAAACGGGAAGAACGGCAUUCCUGUGCUCACACUCGGCGAGGACAAGUUCCUCCAAAGGGAAUAGACCCCUGGUGGGAAACGAAGACAAGAAGAGACCACGUCCGGUUCUGGUUUCUGCUGGAACUGCACCAGCCAGAGGGCAAACGUCCCUGGGAUCAACGUCUUUGGGAAAUGGAGGAGAGCAGGGAAAGCGCCUUGUACGGCUCGUCGUGCUCGGAGAACAGACGCCCAGGGGACAACUGAUUCGCCAUGUGGGUUUGUGUUCCCAAGGGUGAUGAGGACGAUUGUCAUAAUGGCA